GUGGGCGAUAUAGCGAAGGAAGGCAUUCCUAUAGAAAGAGUAACGUGGCCAGACAAAAACCCACAAUUAAGCUGUGCCUCUUGAAAGAUGCUGAUGAAUCACUAUAAUAAAUGACAUGUCACAAAGAAUUCUGCUAGCAUAUCUUCUGAGGAGUACCAAGCAACCAUCAUCAACUGCAAACCUAUAAGCUUUUCUGCUGGUAGCCUUACCUUUCCUGCU
rnacentral:misc_RNA from 1 species